rnacentral:rRNA from 1 species
CAGAGGUGAAAUUCUUGGAUUUAUUGAAGACUAACUACUGCGAAAGCAUUUGCCAAGGAUGUUUUCAUUAAUCAGGAACGAAAGUUAGGGGAUCGAAGACGAUCAGAUACCGUCGUAGUCUUAACCAUAAACUAUGCCGACUAGGGAUCGGACAAUGUUAUUUUUUGACGCGUUCGGCACCUUACGAGAAAUCAAAGUGCUUGGGCUCCAGGGGGAGUAUGGUCGCAAGGCUGAAACUUAAAGAAAUUGACGGAAGGGCACCACCAGGGGUGGAGCCUGCGGCUUAAUUUGACUCAACACGGGGAAACUCACCAGGUCCAGACACAAUGAGGAUUGACAGAUUGAGAGCUCUUUCUUGAUUUCGUGGGUGGUGGUGCAUGGCCGUUCUUAGUUGGUGGAGUGAUUUGUCUGCUUAAUUGCGAUAACGAACGAGACCUUAACCUGCUAAAUAGACCGUAUUGCUUUGGCAGUACGCCGUCUUCUUAGAGGGACUAUCGGCUCAAGCCGAUGGAAGUUUGAGGCAAUAACAGGUCUGUGAUGCCCUUAGAUGCUCUGGGCCGCACGCGCGCUACACUGACGGAGCCAGCGAGUACUCCCUUGGCCGGAAGGCCCGGGUAAUCUUGUUAAACUCCGUCGUGCUGGGGAUAGAGCA